AUGUAUUAAAUUAGUGUUCAGUAAACUCCUCAGUAUUUGCAAUGCAAUAAAUAUCAGUAAUAUUCAUUUGAUUAUUAUCAAAUAUAAGUAUAUAAACAAAAUAACCUGCUUAUAACGCUCUAUCACUAACGCUAACAGAUGCAACGUUUAUAAUCCAGAACAUACCUUUCCAACUGCCACAAGUAUCAACUUCUAGACAAAAUGUUUCAAGUAUUUUGAUGGGAAUUGGGAAGUCUGGAAUCUUGUAUGACAAAGACUUAAAGAGUUUCAUCAUGGGCACAUUUCAAAAACUGGGAUAAAGAAUUUUUAGGUAGUUAAUGCGCAAUAAAAAUAUUGGCAAAACUACUGGAUAUGCAUUUAGUGACUUCUAUGAUCCCGUAUCUGUUUUUCAUAAGCUCAAUGGAAAUAUAUAACUGGUACUAAUCUGUCUAAUCUAACAAGUUUGUUUCAAAUGACUCUCGAGGGUAUAAGGCCAGUCAAGAUUAUGGACAACGUUUUGAAAUCAAUUAUUGAAAUUGAUCACAAAUGUGUGUUUAAACCAGAACCAACUAUUCAAAUUUUGUUAUUAAAACUCUUGGAAAUUUAAUUGUAGUUGAUUACAAAAAGUUAUUGACAUAGAUGCAUUAAAUAAAGACCUGGUCUACAAGAUUACAAUUUAGGGGAUGCACAUAAAAGUUCUAAAUGGCUAUUCUAUAGAAAUUAUUUAAGUAUUCACAAUAAAAUCAAAUAUUGAAAUAUAUUUUGCUAAGC